UUCCGGUUGAUUCUGCCGGACCUGACUGCUAUCGGAUUGAUACUAAGCCAUGCGAGUCAUUGUAGCAAUACAAGGCAUACGGCUCAGUAACGCGUAGUCAACCUACCCUAUGGACGGAAAUAACCUCGGGAAACUGAGAAUAAUAUCCGAUAGAACAUUAUGCCUGGAAUGGUUUAUGUUCCAAAUGAUUUAUCGCCGUAGGAUGGGACUGCGGCCUAUCAGUUUGUUGGUGAGGUAAUGGCCCACCAAGACUAUUACAGGUACGGGCUCUGAGAGGAGUAGCCCGGAGAUGGGUACUGAGACACGGACCCAGGCCCUAUGGGGCGCAGCAGGCGAGAAAACUUUGCAAUGUGCGAAAGCACGACAAGGUUAAUCCGAGUGAUUUCUGCUAAAGAAAUCUUUUGUUAGUCCUAGAAACACUAACGAAUAAGGGGUGGGCAAGUUCUGGUGUCAGCCGCCGCGGUAAAACCAGCACCUCAAGUGGUCAGGAUGAUUAUUGGGCCUAAAGCAUCCGUAGCCGGCUCUGUAAGUCCUCGGUUAAAUCUGUACGCUUAACGUACAGGCUGCCGGGAAUACUGCAUAGCUAGGGAGUGGGAGAGGUAGACGGUACUCGGUAGGAAGGGGUAAAAUCCUUUGAUCUAUUGAUGACCACCUGUGGCGAAGGCGGUCUACCAGAACACGUCCGACGGUGAGGGAUGAAAGCUGGGGGAGCAAACCGGAUUAGAUACCCGGGUAGUCCCAGCUGUAAACUAUGCAAACUCAGUGAUGCAUUGGCUUGUGGCCAAUGCAGUGCUGCAGGGAAGCCGUUAAGUUUGCCGCCUGGGAAGUACGUACGCAAGUAUGAAACUUAAAGGAAUUGGCGGGGGAGCACCACAA
rnacentral:rRNA from 2 species